CUUCAGAUUGUGCUUAUUGGGGCGCACGCAAACCCAGAUAACAGCAAUCAUGUGAUUGAGUCCUCAGCAAGUUCAGGUACUCAGAGCAGGGACUGGAGAAAGACAUCCUGAGGAAUGAGAAUGUUGAAGUAAAAGUGACCAUGGACGACACUAAGAAUGCUUCAAUCCUCCUGAUCAGGAAGCUGUUCCCCCUCAUGGAGAAUCUCGAGGCUCUGCCCGAUGCCGUUUACCUCAGUAUGAAACUCUACUACAGUGAUGAUGGUAAAACAAACAUCUGCCACUUUGAGCAAACACAGCUGCCUGCACAUCCUUCUGCAAUAUGUUGAGAUUCAUAGUGGAGGUUUAUGUAAAGUUUAUUGGAGAGUUAGAAAUAGUACUAAAUAGCUGUAGUGGCAAAAGCUAAACGUUGAACCUAAAAACUAUAAUUAGUACUUCAGAAGCUAUCCAAUGUUAACCUUUUGUGAUCAGGAUAUUGAUAAAUGGAGGAUGUGGCUUUUGUUUCUCUCGCAAUUUGAAAAAAAUGAGUGACACCCCCUGAAUAUGAGCCGCCAGGAUUUAAGGCAGGUGUAUAUGUCAAUCUGUGGUUUGAGGGAACUGCAGUGCACUUCAGAGUGGGUGAUGUGCAGUCUCGCUUACACACCAUGAAGCUGCGUGUGGCGGCAGCACAGAGUCGUCUAGGGAAGCUACAGGAGGGCGGUCAGCUGAGCUAGAACAGCAGAAAAGGUGCAAAGCAGAGAAAAUUUGAUUUUAAUUAUAGCAGUUAUAUAGAAUAAGCUUUGAUAUUUGAUCAAUCGACUUGAUUCAGAUCAUAGAGGUCUUUCCCCUUUUUUGUGACAGGUGACCAGAGACUGCUGUGACCAUGAUCUGCCAUUUGAGGAUGGU